GGCUACGGGGUUGCUUUCUGCUGGCCACAGCAGGCAGUGCUGCCACGAAUACUCCCGUGCCCACGUGCGCCAGCGUCUUCCUAAGGCAGACUCUGAGCACACCCGCUGUGCUGCACCACUAUUUAAUUUUGCUUUGGACCUUGAUCUUCGACUUUAAAUGUGCCAUCCCUCUAGCAAAACAGAACGUGGGCAGAGCUGGAAGUGCUAGGCCAAGGAAUCGCGUCUUCCAUCGCCACGUGGACGCUGGGAGCCCGUUCCCGGGAGAGGGGCUGCUGGGACCAGCGGGGCUCCUCGCAGCAUCUGCUCAUUUCAUCAGGACUCCGCUGUGUGUCCUUGGAGGCCCCAGAGAAGAGCUUCAGAGUUGACGAACGAGGGCAAACAGCCGUGGCAUCUGCCUGUGACAUGCACAGGGCCAGGCUGGAGGACCUGUGGCCGACCUGUGCGUCAUGUGCGUUUGUUUUUCCCCGUGGGGCAGCUGGUGCGGCUCAGCAAACACCGGGCAGCUUGCAGCUGGGAACUGGCUCCAGACCUCAAAGGAGGGCCAAGUAGGCGAGGGAAGGCGGCGGGAACAAUCCACACCCAUGUGAUUCCGUGGAAGUUUUCAGUACCUCCUUAAAGAGUAGCUCCCUGGGCCACGGGUGGGGUCUUUCAUUCUUCCGGUGUUACUUUUACUUGGCUUGAGGCUGUUAAGUAGGCCGCAGGGCAAGCUACGCUGCCAAGACCUAACUGUGCUGAGUUUCUACAGGAGGGUGGCAGGCACCAGCACAGGGCGAGGUCACCUGGGAGUGGGGGACAGCCUUGACCUUGGACUUAGGAACAGCUAGGAGGCUGUGUGUGUACAUGAGGUGCUCUUUUUCAACCUUGACCAUCAUCGGAGUGCUUCCUCCUCCUCCUUUGUUGAAUUCCCUACUCCCAGACUCUACCCAUCAGGGCCCCAUGCAUAGGCAACGCAGCGGGGGGAGGUCAACAGGAAAUACCAAAUCCAAGAGCGACAAAAGCCUGGUCCUCUUCUGAGAGACUGGCAGGAAGAGUGUAGAUCAGCUUUGUGACUGAGGGGGCGUCACUCGGGUGUAUCUUUCUAUGCUUGACAGAGGAGAGCUUUAACUCUUUAUUUUUAAAAGGAAGCCUUUUGUUUCUUUUUCUCUUGCAUUUUCAGGCUCAUAGGAUGUCAGAGAUUAGCAAAUACCUGACGCUACCUCUGUGACUCCCCUCCCAGCUUCUGGAGUGGGGACACUGCAGCCCGGAAGCUGUGUGCCCACGUGGUGCAGCUUCUGCCUGCUGACCCUGGGUUUCUAGCCCCGGAAGGGUGCCCGCAAAGCUCACUCACCUUCUGGGACCCCGACGUGGAGCUCUUGAGCGAGCCCCGCUUGAAGGAGCUGCUCAUCUUCCUCACGGAGCCCAUGAGCCGGCCUGGGGCGUCGCUGGUGCAGCCGGACCCUGCCGCAAGGGGCCACCCCUGUGCAGAAACAAGCAAACCCAAGCCCAUAGCAACCGAAGAACACAGGCAACCCCUCUAACCUCGCGACAGAUGUCUACCAGCGGCUCCCCAAGAUGACACAGAGAAACACUGGAAACAUUCUUACAGACGCCAAGGACAGAGCAAAAAUGUCUAC